rnacentral:rRNA from 1 species
GAUGAACGCUGGCGGCGUGCCUAAUACAUGCAAGUCGAGCGAACAGACGAGGAGCUUGCUCCCCUGACGUUAGCGGCGGACGGGUGAGUAACACGUGGAUAACCUACCUAUAAUACUGGGAUAACUUCGGGAAACCGGAGCUAAUACCGGAUAAUAUAUUGAACCUCAUGGUUCAAUAGUGAAAGACGGUUUUGCUGUCACUUAUAGAUGGAUCCGCGCCGCAUUAGCUAGUUGGUAAGGUAACGGCUUACCAAGGCAACGAUGCGUAGCCGACCUGAGAGGGUGAUCGGCCACACUGGAACUGAGACACGGUCCAGACUCCUACGGGAGGCAGCAGUAGGGAAUCUUCCGCAAUGGGCGAAAGCCUGACGGAGCAACGCCGCGUGAGUGAUGAAGGUCUUCGGAUCGUAAAACUCUGUUAUUAGGGAAGAACAAAUGUGUAAGUAACUAUGCACGUCUUGACGGUACCUAAUCAGAAAGCCACGGCUAACUACGUG